rnacentral:rRNA from 1 species
UGGGGAAUAUUGCACAAUGGGCGCAAGCCUGAUGCAGCCAUGCCGCGUGUGUGAAGAAGGCCUUCGGGUUGUAAAGCACUUUCAGCGGGGCGGAAGGCGUUAAGGUUAAUAACCUUGGCGAUUGACGUUACCCGCAGAAGAAGCACCGGCUAACUCCGUGCCAGCAGCCGCGGUAAUACGGAGGGUGCAAGCGUUAAUCGGAAUUACUGGGCGUAAAGCGCACGCAGGCGGUCUGUCAAGUCGGAUGUGAAAUCCCCGGGCUCAACCUGGGAACUGCAUUCGAAACUGGCAGGCUAGAGUCUUGUAGAGGGGGGUAGAAUUCCAGGUGUAGCGGUGAAAUGCGUAGAGAUCUGGAUGAAUACCGGUGGCGAAGGCGGCCCCCUGGACAAAGACUGACGCUCAGGUGCGAAAGCGUGGGGAGCAAACAGG